rnacentral:sRNA from 1 species
AUCGCUUCUCGGCCUUUUGGCUAAGAUCAAGUGUAACAAUAUUCCUGGCUAUAUUAUAUAUUUAUAGAUUAAAAUAACUAAAUGACCCUUA